UACGGAGGGGGCAAGCGUUGUUCGGAAUUACUGGGCGUAAAGGGCGCGCAGGCGGCUGCUCAAGUCAGGCGUGAAAGGCCUGGGCUCAACCCGGGAAUUGCGCUUGAGACUGGGCUGGCUUGAGUGCGGGAGAGGAUGGUGGAAUUCCCAGUGUAGAGGUGAAAUUCGUAGAUAUUGGGAAGAACACCGGUGGCGAAGGCGGCCAUCUGGACGGCUAUUGACGCUGAGACGCGAAAGCGUGGGGAGCAAACAGG
rnacentral:rRNA from 1 species